GCUGAACUUAAGCAUAUCAAUAAGCGGAGGAAAAGAAACCAACAGGGAUUACCUCAGUAACGGCGAGUGAAGCGGUAACAGCUCAAAUUUGAAAUCUGGCUCCUCGGGGCCCGAAUUGUAAUUUGUAGAAGAUGCUUUGGGUCUGGGCCUGGCCUAAGUUCCUUGGAACAGGACGUCGUAGAGGGUGAGAAUCCCGUAUGCGGCUGGCGCCCGUGCCCGUGUAAAGCUCUUUCAACGAGUCGAGUUGUUUGGGAAUGCAGCUCUAAAUGGGUGGUAAAUUUCAUCUAAAGCUAAAUAUUGGCCAGAGACCGAUAGCGCACAAGUAGAGUGAUCGAAAGAUGAAAAGCACUUUGGAAAGAGAGUUAAACAGUACGUGAAAUUGUUGAAAGGGAAGCGCUGGCAACCAGACUUGGGCGCUGUUGAUCCGCUAGGGUUCUCUCUAGGGCACUCGGCAGUGCGCAGGCCAGCAUCGGUUUGGGGGGUUGGAGAAUGGCUGGUGGAAUGUGGCUGUCUUUGGGCAGUGUUAUAGCCACCGGUGGCAUGCAGCCUCCCCGGACCGAGGACCGCGCUUCGGCUAGGAUGCUGGCGUAAUGGUUGUCAGCGACCCGUCUUGAAACACGGACCAAGGAGUCUAACAUCUAUGCGAGUGUUUGGGUGUUAAACCCAUACGCGGAAUGAAAGUGAACGUAGGUGAGAACCCGCAAGGGUGCAUCAUCGACCGAUCCUGAUGUCUUCGGAUGGAUUUGAGUAAGAGCAUAGCUGUUGGGACCCGAAAGAUGGUGAACUAUGCCUGAAUAGGGUGAAGCCAGAGGAAACUCUGGUGGAGGCUCGCAGCGGUUCUGACGUGCAAAUCGAUCGUCAAAUUUGGGUAUAGGGGCGAAAGACUAAUCGAACCAUCUAGUAGCUGG
rnacentral:rRNA from 1 species